rnacentral:rRNA from 1 species
GAUGAACGCUGGCGGCGUGCUUAACACAUGCAAGUCGAACGAAGCACUUUACUUGAUUUCCUUCGGGGAUGAUUGUUCUGUGACUGAGUGGCGGACGGGUGAGUAACGCGUGGAUAACCUGCCUCACACGGGGGGAUAACAGUUGGAAACGACUGCUAAUACCGCAUAAGCGCACAGCACCGCAUGGUGCAGUGUGAAAAACUCCGGUGGUGUGAGAUGGAUCCGCGUCUGAUUAGCUAGUUGGCGGGGUAACGGCCCACCAAGGCGACGAUCAGUAGCCGGCCUGAGAGGGCGACCGGCCACAUUGGGACUGAGACACGGCCCAGACUCCUACGGGAGGCAGCAGUGGGGAAUAUUGCACAAUGGGGGAAACCCUGAUGCAGCGACGCCGCGUGAGCGAUGAAGUAUUUCGGUAUGUAAAGCUCUAUCAGCAGGGAAGAUAAUGACGGUACCUGACUAAGAAGCUCCGGCUAAAUACGUGCCAGCAGCCGCGGUAAUACGUAUGGAGCAAGCGUUAUCCGGAUUUACUGGGUGUAAAGGGAGCGUAGGCGGUCCUGCAAGUCUGAUGUGAAAGGCCGGGGCUCAACCCCGGGACUGCAUUGGAAACUGUAGGACUAGAGUGUCGGAGGGGUAAGUGGAAUUCCUAGUGUAGCGGUGAAAUGCGUAGAUAUUAGGAGGAACACCAGUGGCGAAGGCGGCUUACUGGACGACUACUGACGCUGAGGCUCGAAAGCGUGGGGAGCAAACAGGAGUAGAUACCCUGGUAGUCCACGCCGUAAA